GGGUGAGUAACACGUGGGCAAUCUGCCCUGCACUCUGGGAUAAGCCUGGGAAACUGGGUCUAAUACCGGAUAGGACCUUUCUCCUCAUGGGGUUUGGUGGAAAGUUUUUCGGUGCAGGAUGAGCCCGCGGCCUAUCAGCUUGUUGGUGGGGUAAUGGCCUACCAAGGCGACGACGGGUAGCCGGCCUGAGAGGGUGAUCGGCCACAUUGGGACUGAGAUACGGCCCAGACUCC
rnacentral:rRNA from 1 species